rnacentral:rRNA from 1 species
GGAUUAGAUACCCUGGUAGUCCACGCUGUAAACGAUGGGCACUAGGUGUCGCGGGUAUUGACCCCUGCGGUGCCGCAGCUAACGCAUUAAGUGCCCCGCCUGGGGACUACGGCCGCAAGGUUAAAACUCAAAGGAAUUGACGGGGGCCCGCACAAGCGGUGGAGCAUGUGGUUUAAUUCGACGCAACGCGAAGAACCUUACCCGGGUUAGACUACAGAGGACCGCCCUAGAAAUAGGGUCUUCCCUUCGGGGACCUCUGGUUCAGGUGCUGCAUGGCUGUCGUCAGCUCGUGCCG